rnacentral:rRNA from 1 species
CCCUUAGAUGUCCUGGGCCGCACGCGCGCUACACUGACAUGUUCAACAAGUUUCUCCUAGUUCGACAGGACUGUGAAAUCUUUGAACGCAUGUCGUGAUAGGGAUAGAUCAUUGCAAUUAUUGAUCUUGAACGAGGAAUUCCUAGUAAACGCGAGUCAUCAGCCCGCAUUGAUUACGUCCCUGCCCUUUGUACACACCGCCCGUCGCACCUACCGAUUGAAUGUUUCGGUGAAGAUUCCGGAUAGGACUGAUUUGAUUUAUUUCAUUUCUGACCUAAAAGCUAUCUAAACCUCAACAUUUAGAGGAAGGUGAAGUCGUAACA